rnacentral:rRNA from 1 species
AGUCAAUAGAUACCCGGGUAGUCCAUGCCGUAAACGAUGAUUGCUAGGUGUGGGGGGUCUGACCCUCCGUGCCGGAGUUAAACACAAAUAAGCAAUCCACCUGGGGAGUACGGCCGCAAGGUUGAAACUCAAAGGAAUUGACGGGGGCCCGGCACAAGCAGUGGAGUAUGUGGUUUAAUUCGAAGCAACGCGAAGAACCUUACCAGGUCUUGACAUCCACCGAAUCCUGUAGAGAUACGGGAGUGCCCUUCGGGGAACGGUGAGACAGGUGGUGCAUGGUUGUCGUCAGCUCGUGUCGUGAGAUGUUGGGUUAAGUCCCGCAACGAGCGCAACCCUUGUGAAUAGUUGCUACGAAAGAGCACUCUAUUCAGACCGCCGUUGACAAAACGGAGGAAGGUGGGGAUGACGUCAAAUCAUCAUGCCCCUUAUGACCUGGGCUACACACGUACUACAAUGGCCGGUUAACAGAGGGAUGCAAUGCCGCGAGGUGGAGCGAAACCCCGUAAAAACCGGUCUCAGUUCAGAUUGCAGGCUGAAACU